rnacentral:rRNA from 1 species
CCUACGGGUGGCAGCAGUGAGGAAUAUUGGUCAAUGGACGAGAGUCUGAACCAGCCAAGUAGCGUGAAGGAUGACUGCCCUAUGGGUUGUAAACUUCUUUUAUAUGGGAAUAAAAUGUUCCACGUGUGGGAUUUUGUAUGUACCAUAUGAAUAAGGAUCGGCUAACUCCGUGCCAGCAGCCGCGGUAAUACGGAGGAUCCGAGCGUUAUCCGGAUUUAUUGGGUUUAAAGGGAGCGUAGGUGGAUUGUUAAGUCAGUUGUGAAAGUGUGCGGCUCAACCGUAAAAUUGCAGUUGAAACUGGCAGUCUUGAUUACAGUAGAGGUGGGCGGAAUUCGUGGUGUAGCGGUGAAAUGUUUAGAUAUCACGAAGAACUCCGAUUGCGAAGGCAGUUCACUGGACUGCAACUGACACUGAGGCUCGAAAGUGUGGGUAUCAAACAGGAUUAGAUACCCUUGUAGUC